rnacentral:pre_miRNA from 1 species
AAUAAGAUCAACUUUUAGUUUUUUAUAUGUUUUGACUCUUUGUCUUAUUUAAAAUUUUUUGUGAUUAAUAUUUUUAUUCUUACAAGAUGAUAAAACAUGAAUAGUAAUUUAUACGUCACUAAUUUUUUUAAGUUUUUAUAAAUUUUUUAAAUAACACAAAUGGUCAAAUGUUGGACAUAAAGAA